CUUUUAGUGUAAGUAUGUCCCAUGCAAUAUUUGGGGCACAUUUAUACUAAAA
rnacentral:pre_miRNA from 1 species